GACGAACGCUGGCGGCGUGCCUAAUACAUGCAAGUCGAGCGCAGGAAGCCGUCUGAACCCUUCGGGGGGACGACGGUGGAAUGAGCGGCGGACGGGUGAGUAACACGUAAAGAACCUGCCCAUAGGUCUGGGAUAACCACGAGAAAUCGGGGCUAAUACCGGAUGUGUCAUCGGACCGCAUGGUCCGCUGAUGAAAGGCGCUCCGGCGUCGCCCAUGGAUGGCUUUGCGGUGCAUUAGCUAGUUGGUGGGGUAACGGCCCACCAAGGCGACGAUGCAAAGCCGACCUGAGAGGGGGAUCGGCCCAACUGGGACUGAGACACGGCCCAGACUCCUACGGGAGGCAGCAGGAGGGAAUCUUCCACAAUGGACGAAAGUCUGAUGGAGCAACGCCGCGUGAACGAUGAAGGCUUUCGGGUCGUAAAGUUCUGUUGUAAGGGAAGAACAAGUGCCGCAGGCAAUGGCGGCACCUUGACGGUACCUUGCGAGAAAGCCACGGCUAACUACGUGCCAGCCGCCGCCGUAAGAC
rnacentral:rRNA from 1 species